ACUAUAAAAACGUUUAUGGUGCCUUCAAUUUGUCCUUUUAUUAUAUUUCAAUCUGAAUAAAAUUAUGAUCGCCAUAAAGAACCCUUGGUGUGGGUAAUUAGGAUUGUAUUUUAAAGGUUAUGUGAGGUACACAAGUUCACUUAUUAACGUCAGAAAAGAAGUUAUUGAGUUCGCAAGUCAUGGGCGUAAAGCGGGCAAGGAGAACUGGCAAGAAACUUUCCGCCACUCCUUUUAAUCGCUAAGUUUUGAGAUAUAAAUUAUUUUGCAAAAAUAAAGCAUACUUUACGCAUAUGUGCGUUUUAACUGUAUGAUGUACAUU